AAACAAAUCAUAACACUGCCGAGGAGACCAAAGGCCGUUCUUUCUGAAUGGAUGUUAAUGGAGGAGAUGCUUCAGUACGCCGAAUAAACUACUUUUUGGCUUGAAGUUCACAUGCUCCCAAGACAAACCAUGCCUGACAGUGAGAACGCAGAAGAAAGAAAGUCAAACACAUCUGGGAUGGCAUGAGGGUGAGUAAAUGAUGAACUAUCCCUUUAAUGGGAGAUACCACAUAGUUUUGGAUUGAUGUAACAAUUUUGACUUUGCACUUCAGCUUAAAAAACAAACAAAAAAACAUCCAAAGUUACAGUGAACAGAAUUUAUGAACAUUUCAUUUUUGUGACUUUACAACAACUUUGCUUUUAACAUUGAUUAGCAACUUUUCAAUACAUUUUUUAAAGUGAUCAUUUUAUCAUAUAACGUAAUAUGUUUUGUUUCAUAACUGGUGCAUAUGGAUAUUUUUAGAUUUAGCUUCUUAAAUUUUAUUUAAGAAUUGCUGAUAAUCAUCAUAGGGGUUUAUACAAAUAUUUUUUCUAGAUAUUUUAUGGGCAAUUUUUAUUUAAAAUGAAAAGGAAUAAAAGCAUGCUCAUUUACACCCACAAAGUGUUAAUAUUUUGUUACAUAACCAACCUUUUGACAAAAGAGGCUAAUUACCAACCUCUGAGUUGUUGUCCAUUACAUUAAAGGGGUGGGGGGGGGUAUAUUACUUUUGCAAAUUUGUGCAUUUCAUACGACUAUAAAAACGGACAAAUGUGUAAACUAUGUGUAUUUAAAUGAUAAAUCAAAUUAUAAACCUGGUAAAGUUUCAAUUUUAAUUAAAGGAAAUUAUUUUUAUUUAGCUUAUUCACCUGCAGUUGCUGUGAAAGUCUCAGCUGGUUUAAAUCAUGUGUGGUUUCACCUGUAGAUGUCAGUAAAAUCUAAACAAUCUCUUGAAAUUUCAGUUCUUAGUGAGUAAGCAAAGAAGGAAGCUCGUUAUGUUUCGAUUGCCCCGAGGCAGGAACUCCACAAACCUCCUUGAAAAAAAAAAAAAGAAAGAGAAAAGAAACCUGUUACAAACAUCACAUCAG